rnacentral:other from 1 species
AGAGUCCUGAUGUGUUCGUUGUGUAUCCUGAAAUUUUGACCGAACAUAUUACCUUCGGGAGUCCGGAGUUUUUCGGAAGCGUAAAUGCCUCAUGUCUUUGAGGACUUACAAACGCUGAAAACAGGACACCCACCUGCUUAGUGCGGGUUCAAAAUGAAGGCCUUAAAGCGACGGCAUAAUCGGGACUCUU